GGGCUCAUAGCUCAGUUGGUUAGAGCGUACGGCUGAUAACCGUAAGGUGCGUGGUUCGAGUCCACGUGGGCCCA
rnacentral:tRNA from 1 species